rnacentral:lncRNA from 1 species
GUAGAUUAUUGAUAAAUCAGAACUAUUACUUGAUUAGUUUGUUCUCUUCUUUGUGAAUUACAGCAGGAAAUAGUAUUUUAAAAGCAUAUUAGUAUACUUCUAUCCAUUCUUCAAAAUCUGGGUUAAAAAUGUUUCUUGUGAUAUCACUGCUGAAGAAAAUAUCACUUUGAAAUAUUACUUUUUUAAAGUUCAGUUUCUGAGUCCUACUUUUAAUACUUGAAGACACAAUGACAAUUUUAAAUUUUUUAUUUAUAUAUUUUCUAGUAUAUUAGGAUGAGUAAGAAUUAAUUAAAAUAUUAGAGGCUGUAGGGUCUAAAAUAGUUAUUAAGGACAAUAUGGAAAGACCAUCUUUCAGAAGGCUGAAAUUGAAAAGGAAGCAAUUCCAGCUGUGCAGUUGGAGAGUAAAUGGCCUGUGAAGUAACUGAACCAAGUUCCUCAACAUCUUAAGGUGAGGGCAUUUUCAAAUUGUGAAAAAUCCUUAUUAUGAAAUUAGAGUUUUAUUACAUGAAUCUUUUGAUCAGUUGUCAUCUUGGGAAGACUAACUUCAAUAAUUGGUCUGGAGAGAGGAUGGGGCAAAAACUUACAUGGGGAAUUCUAUAGCCUCUGUGUGAGGAAGAGGUUAGAGAUAAAAAUGGUGUUUUUACUUAAAAAAAAAAAAAAAAGAAAAAGAAAGGAGCAACAUGCAUGUUCAGUCCUGAUUGCUUUCUGGAUCUUGCUAAAGCUGCUAGAACAUUUCCUGUGUUAUCGAUUUUGUAUAUUACCUCAGUUCACCUCUGCUGACAGCAGUUGGUUUAGCUGCACUGGGAUUCAUCCAAUAUUCCCAACCGUGAUGUUAAUUCUAUGGCAAAGUAAAUAAAAGCUCUGUUCUGACGUCAUAAUCGCUGAGUUGGAACCUGGCUUUGCCACAGGCAUGCCUUCACAGAAGUCACUUAACUAAGUCUAGGUUCCUCAUCUGUGAACUGAGAAAACUAAAAGCACUGAUUCCAUGGGGUGCUGUGAGUAUUAAGUCCAUGGAAGGUUCUCAGGGGGUGCCUUCCCGGAGCAAAAUAUGCAUGUAACAAAUAUCAGCCAUCAUUAUUUCUACUAAAGCACUGAAAGAAACACAACUAAAAGACCUAAAACACAGCUUUAUAUUUUAUAGUGAUUUUGGGGGGGCAUGCCAUAGGAAAUGAUUUGAUAUCUGUAGAUUUUAAAGUCAAAAUGUUUCAUGGCUAAUUGAGAAAAAUCUUGGGCUCUUUAAGAUUAGUGUGAGGUUUAGAGAUAAUAAAUGUAAAGCAUGUGACAUAGUGCCUGACAGAUACUCAGUAAGUUGUAGGAGGUUCUAUUAUUACCAAUAUCAUCAUGAUUCAUACAUUUCUUUUCUCUCCACUUUGGCUUGACAUGUGGAUACAUGAGGCCAGUAGGAAGAAGUCACCCAUGACUAUCUGGAACAACAUUGUGGGGAAGGCCAAGUUUCUGUGGUGACGUGUGGCAAAUGGAUUGUAAAUGAAGAUAGACUGUGUAAUGAAUGACGACACUAAAGACUAAUGUGAAGGACUUUAGGGAAAACAAAAGGCUUUCAUCUGAAAGGAUGAUCUGUGGACCAAGGUCACUCAUACCACUCACUGCUCAUUUUCUCAUGUUAUUUUAAAACUUUUUUCGGCCUUUAUACUGCUUUCAGCAGCAUUUGUGUGUAAGAAGUGGA